UCUCUAGUACACACACUUGCUUUGAACACAGGAAAGCAGGCCACCUUUGGUGGGGGGUGGGGGUGGGGAUAAAAACCUCACACUAAUUCUGCCUAGUCCAGCCAGCCACGCCGCUGACCCCACCAGGAGAGGCCUACCCAGAAGCUCCACAUCUCCUUUCCAUAUGCACCAAGAACAGCCUGCUUUUACACAUGGCUGGGGGUGUUCAGCUGUCCAGGGGGCACCUGACUCUCCAGCUUUCUGAUUUCCGCUGCAUCGAGGCAUGUCCCAUGACAGGCCAGGCAGGAAUCACAUCCCCAGUUCUCUGCUAAGCCAACAAAAUUGCUGUGCACAUGUUGAUGAGGCAAGCCAGCUACUGCUUGCACCACCUCACCGCUACCUGCAUGGAUGGAGUAACUGUCUACCGUACGAACAGCAGUCCGAGGACAGCAACGUCUUUUGUGGACAGUCUGUUUUGUGGGCUACCUGUGUGAAGCAGCUCUUAGAGAGUGGAAGUGGAGAAGACAGCUCUACCCAGGCUUAGACACACUGUCUUCUUGACAUGGCCUUCAUUACUGCUGGGUAGGGAGCCGAUAAGCAAGCGAUGCUGUUCUUCAAGUGCAAUUCAGAAAAAGACGUACCCUCCCAAACACUAAAAAGCUCACACAUUGGAAAGUCAAUCUCUCUUCUGUAUGCUGGCAGUGGGAAACCACAGGACUCUCCUGGCUCGUUUUUAAGAGGUAAGACAUGCUUCUUGGCAGAUGAUGGUUUAGGAAGGCUCGUCUUGCAGCAUUAGGGCUGGCUGAGGGAAACCUUCAAAGGAGAAGUCCAUGCUGGACAGGGAGUAAGGUCUGCUGGAACAGUGCCAUGUGGUAUUUUAUGCUUUUAUACAUAUAAUUUACUAGACUAGUCUCCAAACAUCUUAUUUCUGCAAUUGUUUGCAGUUGUUCAUUUCUUCUUCAUUAAAAUUGUAAGGAUAUAUUCAAAGGUAAGAUUCCAUAUGCAUAUAUUUCAAUAAUAACAUUACUGAUCAGCUCUGUCCCAAAAGUAGCAAAUAUUUCUGUAAAUUUGUUAAUUGGAUUUCAUCUAUAGCUGAAACCUAGUUGCAUGAGAGAUCCAGGUGGAUUUGUUCAGCAACACAGAACACGCAAAGACAGAAUUUAUACAGCAGUUACCACUGCAGGCUAGAAUUAUCUUGAUCAGAGUUGUUAAAGCAUCCUGUUUUAAUAUUUUAGUCAGGGAAAAAAAAUAUUAAUUAAAUCAAAAUACUUGGGUAGAUCAGAAAAGAAGAAGGAAAAAACAAAACACAAUACUACUUUCUCCUAUUUAGUCCACACAAAAUCUUCCUUAAUUUCUCCUUUUCUUCCAUAUGCCUGGUAUUAGGGCUCCAUGUAACCAAACAUUUUGCAAGUCACUGGUGCCAGAUUUUGCAGAAUAUCUCGGACAGGUCUCUUCAUUUCCAUUUCAUUUUGUCUUUCUAUGUCUGACACAUAUUGUUAUUUAAAUGAAUGCUUUUGAACUCAGAUUUUUUUAAUGCAAAUGUG
rnacentral:lncRNA from 1 species